rnacentral:rRNA from 1 species
UGGGGAAUAUUGGACAAUGGGCGCAAGCCUGAUCCAGCCAUGCCGCGUGAGUGAUGAAGGCCUUAGGGUUGUAAAGCUCUUUUGUCCGGGACGAUAAUGACGGUACCGGAAGAAUAAGCCCCGGCUAACUUCGUGCCAGCAGCCGCGGUAAUACGAAGGGGGCUAGCGUUGCUCGGAAUCACUGGGCGUAAAGGGCGCGUAGGCGGCCAUUCGAAGUCGGGGGACUGGAAAGCCUGAUCGGCUCAACCAACAUGAACUUUGCCUUCGAUACUGUUUGGCUUGAGUAUGGUAGAGGUUGGUGGAACUGCGAGUGUAGAGGUGAAAUUCGUAGAUAUUCGCAAGAACACCGGUGGCGAAGGCGGCCAACUGGACCAUUACUGACGCUGAGGCGCGAAAGCGUGGGGAGCAAACA